AGAGUUUGAUCCUGGCUCAGAAUCAACGCUGGCGGCGCGCUUAACACAUGCAAGUCGAACGAGAAAGCCGGAGCAAUCUGGUGAGUAAAGUGGCGUACGGGUGAGUAACACGUGGAUGAUCUACCUUCUGGUGUGGAAUAACCGAGGGAAACCUUGGCUAAUACCGCAUAAGCUCGAGAGAGGAAAGCAGCAAUGCGCCGGAAGAGGAGUCCGCGGCCGAUUAGCUAGUUGGUAGGGUAAAAGCCUACCAAGGCAAAGAUCGGUAGCCGGCCUGAGAGGGCACACGGCCACACUGGCACUGAAACACGGGCCAGACUCCUACGGGAGGCAGCAGUGGGGAAUCUUGCACAAUGGGGGCAACCCUGAUGCAGCGACGCCGCGUGAGCGAUGAAGCCCUUCGGGGUGUAAAGCUCUUUCGUCAGGGAAGAUUAUGACGGUACCUGGAGAAGCAGCUGCGGCUAACUACGUGCCAGCAGCCGCGGUAAUACGUAGGCAGCGAGCGUUGUUCGGAGUUACUGGGCGUAAAGGGUGUGUAGGCGGUUGUUUAAGUUUGGUGUGAAAUCUCCCGGCUCAACUGGGAGGGUGCGCCGAAUACUGAAUGACUUCGAGUGCGGGAGAGGAAAGUGGAAUUCCUGGUGUAGCGGUGAAAUGCGUAGAUAUCAGGAGGAACCCGGUGGUGUAGACGGCUUUCUGGACCGUAACUGACGCUGAGACACGAAAGCGUGGGUAGCAAACAGGAUUAGAUACCCUAGUAGUCC
rnacentral:rRNA from 1 species